rnacentral:rRNA from 1 species
GACUCCUACGGGAGGCAGCAGUGGGGAAUAUUGGACAAUGGGGGCAACCCUGAUCCAGCCAUGCCGCGUGAGUGAAGAAGGCCCUAGGGUCGUAAAGCCUUCAUUCACUGUGAAGAUAAUGACGGUAGCAGUAGAAGAAACCCCGGCUAACUCCGUGCCAGCAGCCGCGGUAAUACGGAGGGGGUUAGCGUUGUUCGGAAUUACUGGGCGUAAAGCGCACGUAGGCGGACUAUUAAGUUAGAGGUGAAAAUCCCAGGGCUCAACCCUGGAACUGCCUUUAAUACUGGUAGUCUUGAGUUCGAGAG